rnacentral:snRNA from 1 species
AUGCUCAACUCAGCAACACACACAGUAAAAUUGGAGUAAUACAAAGAUUAGCAUGGGCCCCGCACAAGGAUGACAUGCAAAUUCGUGAAGCGUUCCAUAUUUUA